GGGCGGUUAGCUCAGGUGGUCAGAGCGCUGGUCUCACAUACCAGAGGUCACAGGUUCGAAUCCUGUACUGCCCACCA
rnacentral:tRNA from 2 species